rnacentral:rRNA from 1 species
AGAACGAACGCUGGCGGCAUGCCUAAUACAUGCAAGUCGAACGAAUGCCCUUCGGGGUGUUAGUGGCGCACGGGUGCGUAACGCGUGGGAAUCUGCCCUUGGGUUCGGAAUAACAGUUGGAAACGACUGCUAAUACCGGAUGAUGACGUAAGUCCAAAGAUUUAUCGCCCAGGGAUGAGCCCGCGUAGGAUUAGCUAGUGGUGAGGUAAGCUCACCAAGGCGACGAUCCUUAGCUGGUCUGAGAGGAUGAUCACGCCACACGUGGGACUGAGACACGGCCAGACUCCGACGGAGCAGCGAGGUGGGAAUAGUGGAACAAGUGGGACGAAAGGCCUAGACUACCGAGACAAGUCGGCCGG